UACGUAGGAUGCAAGCGUUGUCCGGAAUUAUUGGGCGUAAAGAGCGCGCAGGCGGUACCUCAAGUCAGAUGUGAAAUAUCCGGGCUUAACCCGGAGGGGUCAUUUGAAACUGGGUAACUAGAGUACAGCAGAGGAUAGCGGAAUUCCCGGUGUAGUGGUGAAAUGCGUAGAUAUCGGGAGGAACACCAGUGGCGAAGGCGGCUAUCUGGGCUGAAACUGACGCUGAGGCGCGAAGGCUAGGGGAGCAAACAGG
rnacentral:rRNA from 1 species